rnacentral:rRNA from 1 species
UUGAAAGGGAAACGAUUGAAGUCAGUCGUACCCAGCGGGAAAAUCAAACCUUUUCGAGUGGGGGUUUUUGGAGUUUUUGAAAGAGUUUUCAAAAACCUUUGAGAUUUCAAAAUAUUCGCUCUUUUGGUGUACUUUCUCGUGGGUAGGUUAACAUCGAUUUUGAUCAUCAUAAAAAGAUUGGAGGAAUGUAGCUUCGAUCUUGUAUUGAAGUGUNAUAGCCUUUGGUAAAUGUGAUGAUUAGGAUCGAGGAUUGCAACGAAUACCCUUUUGGGCUAUCCGCCUGAUCNCUGAUACGUGGCCUUGGUAUCGAAAGCUUUGCUUAUNNNANNAAGGUAUUACGGUCAAAAGGUUAGAACGGAUNCAUUCGUUAAGGAUGUUGACGUA